rnacentral:rRNA from 1 species
CCUAUAAGACUGGGAUAACUUCGGGAAACCGGGGCUAAUACCGGAUAAUAUUUUGAACCGCAUGGUUCAAUAGUGAAAGACGGUUUCGGCUGUCACUUAUAGAUGGACCCGCGCCGUAUUAGCUAGUUGGUAAGGUAACGGCUUACCAAGGCGACGAUACGUAGCCGACCUGAGAGGGUGAUCGGCCACACUGGAACUGAGACACGGUCCAGACUCCUACGGGAGGCAGCAGUAGGGAAUCUUCCGCAAUGGGCGAAAGCCUGACGGAGCAACGCCGCGUGAGUGAUGAAGGUCUUCGGAUCGUAAAACUCUGUUGUUAGGGAAGAACAAAUUUGUUAGUAACUGAACAAGUCUUGACGGUACCUAACCAGAAAGCCACGGCUAACUACGUGCCAGCAGCCGCGGUAAUACGUAGGUGGCAAGCGUUAUCCGGAAUUAUUGGGCGUAAAGCGCGCGUAGGCGGUUUCUUAAGUCUGAUAUGAAAGCCCACGGCUCAACCGUGGAGGGUCAUUGGAAACUGGGAAACUUGAGUGCAGAAGAGGAAAGUGGAAUUCCAUGUGUAGCGGUGAGAUGCGCAGAGAUAUGGAGGAACACCAGUGGCGAAGGCGACUUUCUGGUCUGUAACUGACGCUGAUGUGCGAAAGCGUGGGGAUCAAACAGGAUUAGAUACCCUGGUAGUCCACGCCGUAAACGAUGAGUGCUAAGUGUUAGGGGGUUUCCGCCCCUUAGUGCUGCAGCUAACGCAUUAAGCACUCCGCCUGGGGAGUACGACCGCAAGGUUGAAACUCAAA